AAGACCUUGCGCUUUUGGAGCGGCCGAUGUCUGAUUAGCUAGUUGGUAGGGUAAUGGCCUACCAAAGCUUCGAUCAGUAGCUGGUCUGAGAGGACGACCAGCCACACUGGGACUGAGACACGGCCCAGACUCCUACGGGAGGCAGCAGUGGGGAAUUUUGGACAAUGGGCGCAAGCCUGAUCCAGCCAUGCCGCGUGAGUGGAGAAGGCCUUCGGGUUGUAAAGCUCUUUCAGCCGGGAAGAAAAGGCUACGACGAAUAAUCGUAGCUCAUGACGGUACCGGAAGAAGAAGCACCGGCUAACUACGUGCCAGCAGCCGCGGUAAUACGUAGGGUGCGAGCGUUAAUCGGAAUUACUGGGCGUAAAGGGUGCGCAGGCGGUUUUGUAAGUCAGAUGUGAAAUCCCCGGGCUUAACCUGGGAACU
rnacentral:rRNA from 1 species